rnacentral:rRNA from 1 species
UCCUACGGGAGGCAGCAGUGGGGAAUUUUGGACAAUGGGCGCAAGCCUGAUCCAGCAAUGCCGCGUGAGUGAAGAAGGCCUUCGGGUUGUAAAGCUCUUUCAGUUGAGAAGAAAAGAUUGUGACUAAUAAUUGCAAUUCAUGACGU